UCGAACGAGUUCUCGUUGAUGAUCGGUGCUUGCACCGAGAUUCAACAUCCGAUUGAGUGGCGGACGGGUGAGUAACACGUGGGUAACCUGCCCUUAAGUGGGGGAUAACAUUUGGAAACAGAUGCUAAUACCGCAUAGAUCCAAGAACCGCAUGGUUCUUGGCUGAAAGAUGGCGUAAGCUAUCGCUUUUGGAUGGACCCGCGGCGUAUUAGCUAGUUGGUGAGGUGAUGGCUCACCAAGGCGAUGAUACGUAGCCGAACUGAGAGGUUGAUCGGCCACAUUGGGACUGAGACACGGCCCAAACUCCUACGGGAGGCAGCAGUAGGGAAUCUUCCACAAUGGACGCAAGUCUGAUGGAGCAACGCCGCGUGAGUGAAGAAGGCUUUCGGGUCGUAAAACUCUGUUGUUGGAGAAGAAUGGUCGGCAGAGUAACUGUUGUCGGCGUGACGGUAUCCAACCAGAAAGCCACGGCUAACUACGUGCCAGCAGCCGCGGUAAUACGUAGGUGGCAAGCGUUAUCCGGAUUUAUUGGGCGUAAAGCGAGCGCAGGCGGUUUUUUAAGUCUGAUGUGAAAGCCCUCGGCUUAACCGAGGAAGCGCAUCGGAAACUGGGAAACUUGAGUGCAGAAGAGGACAGUGGAACUCCAUGUGUAGCGGUGAAAUGCGUAGAUAUAUGGAAGAACACCAGUGGCGAAGGCGGCUGUCUGGUCUGUAACUGACGCUGAGGCUCGAAAGCAUGGGUAGCGAACAGG
rnacentral:rRNA from 1 species